UAAUGCCGGAUGCUCCAUCACACUGCAUGGUGUGUUGGGAAAGCCUUUGCGGCAUGGGAUGGGGUCGCGUCCUAUCAGCUUGAUGGCGGGGUAACGGCCCACCAUGGCUUCGACGGGUAGCCGGCCUGAGAGGGCGACCGGCCACAUUGGGACUGAGAUACGGCCCAGACUCCUACGGGAGGCAGCAGUGGGGAAUAUUGCACAAUGGGCGCAAGCCUGAUGCAGCGACGCCGCGUGAGGGAUGGAGGCCUUCGGGUUGUAAACCUCUUUUGUUAGGGAGCAAGGCAUUUUGUGUUGAGUGUACCUUUCGAAUAAGCACCGGCUAACUACGUGCCAGCAGCCGCGGUAAUACGUAGGGUGCAAGCGUUAUCCGGAAUUAUUGGGCGUAAAGGGCUCGUAGGCGGUUCGUCGCGUCCGGUGUGAAAGUCCAUCGCUUAACGGUGGAUCCGCGCCGGGUACGGGCGGGCUUGAGUGCGGUAGGGGAGACUGGAAUUCCCGGUGUAACGGUGGAAUGUGUAGAUUCGAGAGAGAACAC
rnacentral:rRNA from 1 species